GUGCGGCUGCGGGGGGGGCCGCGGCAAGGGCGAGGGCAGCCGCCCUCUCGCCAAGCGGCGCACCUGCCCUGCCCGCCCCUACCUUGUUGAGGUGGGGGUCGCGGAGCACCUCGUAGCCCCUCUUCAUGGUCCUGAAUAUUACUUUUAGUAAGUAUCAGGCAUAUGUGGUUUCAUCUCGGCUCUUUCUUAGUUAUAAACUUGAAAAGCAACAUAGAAACAUCCUUUCUCCUUUCUUGAGUAUGAGAGAAUGAAAAGUCCUUGACUGAGGGUGAACGCUAUUGGGCAACAGCUGAAACAUCAGUGUUAUCAACAUGAUUCUCCUACUAAACCCAAAAUGCAACACUCUACCAGAUAUUAGGAAGAAAAUUAACUCUUAUCUCAGCCAGGAACUUGACAACCUGCUUUUUCAAGCCAGUAGUACUGGAAGGCUGCUAUGACGUCUUCCCAGAGCCUCUUCUCCAGGCUGAACCAUUCCAGCUCUCUCAGCCUGUCUCCAUAGUGCAAAGCCCAGGAUAUGGUUGCCUGUCUGGUCUGCAAGUACACUUUUACAGCUCAUGUUGAGCUUCUUGUCAACCAAACCCCCAAGUCUUUCUUCCCAGGACUGCUUUCAAUCCUUUCUCCACCCAGCCUGCAUUUGUGCUUGGGAUUGUCUGGCCCAGGUACAGAGCUAGGGUUAGGGUUGUACUUGGCCUUGCUAAAUUUUAGGAGGUUCACAUAGGCCUGUCUCUCAAGAUUGUCCAGGUCCAUCUGGAUGACAUCCCUUCCCACUAGUGUGUCAACCAUACCACACAGCCACUGGCAAACCUGUUGAGGGUGCACUCGAUCCCACUGUUUAUCAUUUUACCAAGCUUAACAUCUGAAAGAGAACACUCAAGGAAUGGCUUAGAGUUCAUGCUUCACUAGAGCAUAAAGAAGAGUGUUUCUCUCCAGCCACUUUUAAGAUGAUUCUCACCUCAUGAUUAUUCAGGUAGUAGCAGUCAAUGUCCCAUGAACUUAUUCACUGCUAGAUCUGUUCCCCUUGUCAUCCAAAGAGUCUUCCUAUACAGCUCUAUAGAGGCCCUCAAAGGUCUGGAGACUAUGGCUUUAAUACAGUGGUUCUGCAUAAAUUCUUAAUAUGAAGCUAACAAGCAUCUAAAAAAGAUUUCUACUGAGAUAACUUCCCAUUCCCACGCUAAAACCCCAAAAGGAUGCUGUAUUUCUAAGACAAUAUUUUGAAGGUGAACUAACCUGGUCAUUUUGAAGUUUGACAAUGUUUUCCAAAUAGCAUCAUGUCCUUUUACAUAGUUAAGAUUAUUUCUUCUGACCUCAAUUUAUAAAAAUGUCCAAAGUUAUUUUCUGUUGUGCAAAAAAAAAAAAGAAAUAACAGAGACUUUGUUUAAACAGCAGAUUUUCUGGUUUCAAGCGGUCAUGUAAAAGAUAAUUCACCAUUACAGUGGAUUUGCAGUUACAGGACAAGAAUGACAGAGUUUCAAAAAUAAUGUGGCGUUGUUGCCUGUGCAUAGCAAUUAGUUGGUGGCCUACUUCAGAUGAGAGUUUCAGUGGCUUAUAAAAUGUCCAAAGAAUAGCUGUCCUAGUUAAUAUAAUUGACUGCAAGGGACAGUUGAAGGGCAUGGUUUAUUUAUUUGAGGAAACAUUAUCCAAAAAUUAAGCAAAUUUGGGCAAUAAAUAAGCUGUAGCAAGAAAUAUGAGUAAAUUACAAAUUUUAGAAAUAGACUGAUAAAAACACUACUGCACAGCAUUAAAUGUCUUACCUGGCAAAUAAUCAGGUGUCUUCUUGCUUAAGUUUGUGAGCUGUUUUAUUGAUUCAUACUUGUAAGAAGAGAUUCUUGAAGAAAAACAUUACUCAAAAUGUGUUUAAGUGUUUAUGUACAAUAAAGAAAUAUGUAAAUAAACAUAUCACUACUUGUUGCUCUAUCCUACCAUUA